rnacentral:rRNA from 1 species
AAAGAUGUCAACUAAAAAAAAAAAGUUUGAUCUCAGAAGCUAAGCAGGGUCAGGCCUGGUUAGUACUUGGAUGGGAGACCACCUAGGAAGACCAGGUGCUGUAGGCA